rnacentral:tRNA from 1 species
CGCCCGGCCGGACGGUAAGGCGGCGGAUUGCUAAUCCGUAGGGCCCGCAAGGGCCCACGGGGUUCGACUCCCCGGCGCUCCGCCA